rnacentral:rRNA from 1 species
UACAGAGGUCUCGAGCGUUAGGCGGAAUCACUGGGCUUAAAGCGUGUGUAGGCGGGUCGUUAAGUAACUUGUGAACUCCCAUGGCUCAACCAUGGAACUGCUGGGUAUACUGGCGAUCUUGUGCAACCUAGGGGCGAGCGGAACAGAUGGUGGAGCGGUGAAAUGCGUAGAUAUCAUCUGGAACGCCAAUGGUGAAAACAGCUCGCUGGGGGUUUGCAGACGCUGAGACACGAAAGCCAGGGGAGCGAACGGG